rnacentral:lncRNA from 1 species
UUACAAUAUAUGAUAGCCUUUUUUCAAGCCACAUUUGAGUUACACUUGUAAAUCUGUGUUUUGUAUUUCAAUUGGAAUUGAAUGUAAGACUAUGGAAGCUUGCAAAUGAUUACAGUUAUUAGGCCUACAGCUGUUAACACAAAUCGCCUAACCAACAUCAAUUUAGCCAACAUUUGUAACAAUUCAAAUUGGACAACUUACCACUUGUCCACUUUUUCCAGGUUCGGGAACAGCUAUUGUACAAACACGGAAGUACUAGGAUAUAACCUAGGCUACUUUUUCAACGUUUACAGAGCCCUGUUGUGUCUGCUCUAUCAAUUGCUAUCAUAUGCUACAUUCAAAGCAAUUGGAAACAUGGAAAUAUCCGACUUCAGUCCAUUCAUGACAACUGGGACUCUGGGAAAAACGUUUGAACUGUCAAUCAACUCGGAAUUCAAAGUCGGAAGCUGGAGCAUCUUUCUUGAGCUGCAACUUUCCGACUUGAAGAUCACUGACGUUAUGAUUUGACCUAGUUUUUUUCCGAGUUCCCAGUUGGCUUGAAAGCAGCAAUGUCACUGUUUAUAAACUCAAGAGACGCAACAUCGCGAGAUUUCUGGGAACGCUUGCUUCAACAGACACACCCUCAGCCCUCAAAUUUAGUCGACACUUCUGAUGACGUUUCAUGACGAGAUUACACUUGCAGGGUAUGGAGGAUAUAGUUAAUCAAUAGAGGUUGUGACACCAGGAAUAAAGAGUAUCAAAUUCGGGGUGCAUUUUCUACCAAGAAUGAACAUACUCGCCGAUGUAUCGAAUCCCAACACGGCUGCUUUAUUUAGCCUUGAAUCGUUUUUAAUGCUUUCUUUUUCUUACGGUGACAGAGUCUGAGAGUUGAAAAGUAUCGGGCUUCAUCCGACAAUCCUCGUUCCUCUCAGCCUUUAAAUCUGUCAUCCAUAACUUAUGAAAACCUGUCUCUUUUUGUCAAACCGCUCACCCUCUUCAGGAUUCGAAUUUAUAGAAGGGGAGCCUAAAUGUGUUAAGCCUAAACACCACAGGAGUUGAAUCUUGUUUAUCUCAAAUAAGAGAAAUGUCUUAAUUUAUAAAUGCAAUAUCAAGUUCACAUCAACGUAAUGUUGCCGAAAUUGUUUUGAUUGUAAAACAAGUAAUUCAAGACACAGAAUUGGAGGAAGACGUGAGAAUGACAAAUAUACUCUAAUUGUUUGAAAUCAGAGGCCCAGCCGGGCACAGGUGUGGAGUUCAUAAACAGAGGCCUAGCAGGGCGCAGGUGUCAAGGCCACGGACAGAGAACCAGCUAGCGGUGGAGUAGUCCGUACAGGAGCGGAGGACUAAUGCGGUUAGAGGUGUGGAAUGGAUGCUGGGACUCCUACAAAAUCAUCUGAUUGGAAGCAUGUUUUUUUUUUGCAUCACUCUUUAUCAAUGCCACCAAAUACCCAGCAUACCACAGAGCAUUUUCAACAACCUACGUGAAGGUCUGCUUCCUCUAAAGGCUGAACUGCAUCUCAUGUUGACCCAACAAAUGUGCCUUGUUGCCAAUUCUGAGCAGUACAGCCCUCCUGGCCAAAUGUAUCCAGAGAUAUAGCCCUGGUGUACUCUCUUAGAACUAUGUCUACUGAAAUGGCAAGCAUCCUUACUGUCAAAUCAACUUUUAUUCAUAUAUGCAGAACAAUGAACAGUACAGUACAAUGAAAUGCUUACUUGCAAGCUACCUCUCAACAUAGCCCUUAUCAUACAUCAUGUCUUGGGGGUAUGAUAUUUGUGUGUCUUUCUCAUCAUUAUUCACAAUUCAUCAGGACUAUCCGUAAUCCUGGUAGCAUCCACAUUAAUGUAGAAGUGUUUAGAAACAUUCUAUUCUUAUUUACAAUAAGUGACUCCAAAAUAACACAAUACAUUAUUUAUCAGUAAUUUCUAUUAGGCACAAAAUAAUCUGAAAAACAACCAAAACAAAAGAGCAAAUAUUUGUAGAGUCACAAGCUUGAAGUAAUCAUUGUGUGCUAGGAAUAUGGGACCAAAUACUAAACUUUUGACUACUUAAAUACACAAGUGAAUUUAUCCCAAUACUUUUGGUUCCUCUUAAAUGGAGAGACUAUGUAGAAAAAGUGUUGUAAUAAAAAAGUCCUGUAAUAUGGAUGAAAAUACCUUCAAAUUAAAGCUGACAGCCAAAGCCAAUUCACACUUUAAAAAUAACAUUUAUGGUCCAUGGACUAAGGAGUAACGUUAGCCCGAACAGGAACGUAGGACAGGGGACUGACGAGCACAGGUGUGGAGGACAGAGGCCCAGGGGGUGGAGUAGCCCAUACAGGAGUGGAGGACAGGGGACUGACGAGCACAGGUGUGGAGGACAGAGGCCCAGGGGGUGGAGUAGCCCAUAGAGGAGUGGAGGACAGGGGACUGACUGAUGCAGCUGUGGACUGGAUGCUGGUAGAGGGGGUGGGAGUAGGAUGAAAGGUGCCAACAAGAGGCAGGGCUGUCUCCAGCACUGGAACUGUCAGGCCCUGAAAUUCCACAAGCUCGACAAACCCUCUCAUCCUCCCCUUGGACAUCAGGAUCACCUUUCUCCAGUUCCUCAAUGGCAGCCUUAUAAUCCUGCAGCACCAAACCAGUCUGAUCGAAGAGGUACUCCAAAUUAGUUCUCCUAAAGAAAAAAAACAAAUAUGAGAAUACACCGGACUGAGAAUGGAAUAAUUCUAUAAUAACAUUUCACAACGAGAAAUGUGUUGCUGUUUGUAUUAAAUAUAAAAGCAGCAUUAGAUUAUUAAUUGCAUUAAAAGUAUAUUGCCAUUACCAAUGUAUUUGCGUGGAAC